rnacentral:lncRNA from 1 species
CAUUGGAGGGCAGACACUUGGAUGCCUUAUAGAAAUUAGAAUUAGCACUACAAGUAUGCUUCUUAUCCAAGUUUAGUUUAUUAUACUUUGAUUAUUAUAGUCAAGGGUUUCUAGGCAUCAGGAUUUUCGGUGCAUCAGGUGUUUCGAAUGAAAAAUUUUAAACACCUAGUCCUUUCGCUGUGCCACCGGAUCCUAUCAGUGAUAUCAA